GACGGAAGGUGCAAGCGUUGUCCGGAAUCACUGGGCGUAAAGGGCGCGUAGGCGGCUUCUCACGCGUGCGGUGAAAGCCCGGGGCUCAACUCCGGGUCGGCCGUGCAGACGGGGGAGCUGGAGGCCGGUAGAGGCUGAUGGAAUUCCGGGUGUAGCGGUGGAAUGCGUAGAGAUCCGGAAGAACACCGGUGGCGAAGGCGGUCAGCUGGGCCGGGCCUGACGCUGAGGCGCGACAGCGUGGGGAGCAAAC
rnacentral:rRNA from 1 species